rnacentral:rRNA from 1 species
CCUACGGGGGGCUGCAGUGAGGAAUAUUGGUCAAUGGUCGCGAGCCUGAACCAGCCAAGCAGCGUGAAGGAUGAAUGUACUAAGGGUUGUAAACUUCUUUUAUCAAGGAAUAAAGUGAGGCACGUGUGCCUUUUUGUAUGUACUUUAUGAAUAAGCAUCGGCUAACUCCGUGCCAGCAGCCGCGGUAAUACGGAGGAUCCGAGCGUUAUCCGGAUUUAUUGGGUUUAAAGGGAGCGUAGAUGGGUUGUUAAGUCAGUUGUGAAAGUUUGCGGCUCAACCGGAAAAUUGCAGUUGAUACUGGCAGUCUUGAGUACAGUUGAGGUAGGCGGAAUGCGUGGUGUAGCGGUGAAAUGCUUAGAUAUCACGAAGAACUCCGAUUGCGAAGGCAGCUUGC